rnacentral:rRNA from 1 species
AUGCAGUCGAGGGGCAGCAUAAUGGAUAGCAAUAUCUAUGGUGGCGACCGGCGCACGGGUGCGUAACGCGUAUGCAACCUACCUUUAACAGGGGGAUAACACUGAGAAAUUGGUACUAAUACCCCAUAAUAUCAUAGAAGGCAUCUUUUAUGGUUGAAAAUUCCGAUGGUUAGAGAUGGGCAUGCGUUGUAUUAGCUAGUUGGUGGGGUAACGGCUCACCAAGGCGACGAUACAUAGGGGGACUGAGAGGUUAACCCCCCACACUGGUACUGAGACACGGACCAGACUCCUACGGGAGGCAGCAGUGAGGAAUAUUGGUCAAUGGACGCAAGUCUGAACCAGCCAUGCCGCGUGCAGGAUGACGGCUCUAUGAGUUGUAAGCUGCUUUUGUACGAGGGUAAACGCAGAUACGUGUAUCUGUCUGAAAGUAUCGUACGAAUAAGGAUCGGCUAACUCCGUGCCAGCAGCCGCGGUAAUACGGAGGAUUCAAGCGUUAUCCGGAUUUAUUGGGUUUAAAGGGUGCGUAGGCGGUUUGAUAAGUUAGAGGUGAAAUUUCGGGGCUCAACCCUGAACGUGCCUCUAAUACUGUUGAGCUAGAGAGUAGUUGCGGUAGGCGGAAUGUAUGGUGUAGCGGUGAAAUGCUUAGAGAUCAUACAGAACACCGAUUGCGAAGGCAGCUUACCA